CCGAGAGCUUCUCUCUCUACCUCUCGCCGGAAAUCGCCCCACCACCGGACGCCACGUCGCCGCCGGCCGCCGCCGUCGCCGGAACCCCAUCCUUUACCAAAAUUUCCAGAUUUUCUUCUCUUCCUUCCCUCUUUCCAUUUCUCUAACCAAAAUCAAGAAAUUUGGCCAUCCAACCCUCCAAAAACCUUAGAACCCGAAGCUAAAUUGGGGCUUUUUGUGAUUUCUUCUUUCCAAGUUCAAAUCAAGAGGCUAGGCUAUGGGUUUGGCAAGGAUUUGUGGUGAAGAAGGCCAAGGAGGAAGCUUAGGCCGUGAGUUUUGAAGAAGAAAGGGAAACACGAUCGUUAAGGAAGCUUAAGCGGAAAGCACCAGAGUGUGGAAUACGCCGGCAUUUCCAGACUUGCAUGUUGAGAUACUACAACCCUUGUAUGUGUGUACUUGUGACCUGAAAGUGAAUGGGACCUAGACGCGUAGAUUCCUAGGGAUUCCACGGUGUCGAUAACCGUGAACCUCCGGAGGGGGCCGUGCUCCUAUGUUUGUCGAGGAAGAGUGAGUACAGACAGUGAACCAGUCAUAGGAGACUCAGGGCCAGGAAAUGGACACUUUCGCUACUUGUAGUCGGAAGUACUACAGAAUAGUUGGCCAGUUCUCGAAGGAUGACGAACCAGGUCGGUCACCGAUUUGAUUUAUAUUGGCCGGCAGUGUGCAGGUUUCGAGCAUGUGGUCGGCAAGCGUACAGGGGAGGCACAUGGCCCGGCUUGGCGCAUUUCUCUUUAGUUUUAUCAAAAUGAAGGUUUUGGUCCCUUAUCGGAUUUUGAACUU